rnacentral:rRNA from 1 species
AUGGAUUCCGCGAGAAGUUGGUUCCAGAAGUUCCAGCCGCGGGACAAGUCCAAGAGCCCGGCGGUGCCUGCCAGCCAUGGGAAGGAUCCCGGGAAGCCCCCGGUCGACGACGCGCCUUCUAGCGCGACCAAGCAGAAGGUCGCCGCGGCAAAACAGUACAUUGAGAACCACUACAAGACUCAGAUGAAGUCCUUGCAAGAUAGGAAAGAGAGGCGCUGGAUGCUGGAGAGGAAAUUACAGGAUGCUGAAGUUCCUGCAGAAGAGCAGAACAACAUUCUAAAACAUUUGGAGAAAAAGGAGACUGAAUAUAUGCGUUUGCAAAGACACAAGAUGGGGGUUGAAGAUUUUGAACUUUUGACAAUUAUUGGAAGAGGUGCAUUUGGAGAGGUGCGUCUUUGUAGAGAGAAGACCUCUAAAAGCGUAUAUGCAAUGAAAAAGCUUAAGAAAUCUGAAAUGCUUCGUAGGGGCCAGGUGGAACACGUCAAAGCCGAAAGAAACCUUCUUGCAGAAGUCGAUAGUGCGUACAUAGUAAAGCUUUACUAUUCUUUUCAAGAUGAUGAGUUCUUGUAUCUCAUCAUGGAGUACCUUCCUGGUGGUGACAUGAUGACUUUGCUCAUGCGCAAGGACACUCUGACAGAAGAUGAAGCAAAAUUUUACAUCGCAGAAACUGUACUAGCAAUAGAGUCCAUUCACAAGCACAAUUACAUUCACAGGGAUAUCAAGCCAGAUAAUUUAUUGUUAGAUCUCAGUGGUCACUUGAAGCUUUCUGACUUUGGAUUGUGCAAACCUUUGGAUAGCAGUAAUUUUCCAAAUUUGAAUGAACCGGAUUAUACACCUGGAAAAGGUGCUAAACCUUUACCCGAUAACACCAGUCGAUUAACUAACUCUUCUGCACCGAAGCGUACGCAGCAGGAGCAGCUGUCACAUUGGCAAAAGAACCGUCGGAUGUUGGCGUAUUCUACAGUUGGUACUCCUGAUUACAUUGCUCCAGAGGUUCUAUUGAAGAAAGGAUAUGGAAUGGAGUGUGACUGGUGGUCCCUUGGUGCUAUCAUGUAUGAAAUGCUAGUUGGUUAUCCCCCAUUUUAUUCGGAGGAUCCAAUGUCAACCUGCAGAAAGAUUGUGAACUGGAGAAGUCACCUGAAAUUUCCUGAAGAGGCAAAGCUUUCUUCUGAAACUAAGGAUCUCAUUAGCAAACUUCUCUGUAAUGUUGAGCAGAGACUUGGAACAAAAGGAGCCCAUGAAAUAAAAGCACAUACAUGGUUUAGAGGUGUCCAAUGGGAAAAGUUGUAUCAGAUGAAAGCUGCUUUCAUACCAGAAGUUAAUGGCGAGUUGGAUACUCAGAACUUUGAGAAAUUUGAGGAGACUGGAGCACAAGUUCAGAGUUCAUCUAAGGCGGGUCCAUGGAGAAAGAUGCUUCCAUCCAAGGAUGCAAAUUUUGUUGGGUACACGUACAAGAACUUUGAAAUUGUGAAUGACGAUGAAGUUGCCGGGAUUGCCGAGCUGAAGAAAAAGAGCUCCAAAUCAAAACGGCCAACCAUCAAGACAUUGUUUGAGAGCAUGGAUGAAGAUGAACCUGUGCACGGCAGUUUCUUAAAUAUGUUGCCCCAUAAGGAGGGACAACCUUCUUCUCACUCAAGCGCCCCACCAGAACAAUACCAACCUCGACGUAAAUAG